UACGUAGGGUGCGAGCGUUGUCCGGAAUUGUUGGGCGUAAAGAGCUCGUAGGCGGUUUGUUGCGUCGGCCGUGAAAACCUGCAGCUUAACUGUGGGCCUGCGGCCGAUACGGGCAGGCUAGAGUUCGGUAGGGGAGACUGGAAUUCCUGGUGUAGCGGUGAAAUGCGCAGAUAUCAGGAGGAACACCGAUGGCGAAGGCAGGUCUCUGGGCCGAUACUGACGCUGAGGAGCGAAAGCGUGGGGAGCGAACAGG
rnacentral:rRNA from 1 species